UCUAUAGGAACUUGAGUCGAAGUCUGUGAUAAAACCACAGUUGCAGUCGGAGUCAUAGUAUGAUAUUGAGAAGGCGUCGGAUAUUGAGCAUAGUAUACCUGGUCGAUCGUUGGAUGAGAAUAUUCAGAGCCGUAAUUAGCAGCGGCGGAAGCAGCAAUAAUAAUGGAUUGUGACGGAGUUGGAAUUUGAGGAAGAUCGAUGUACUGCUGAUGAAAUUGAUGGAAUGGGACUUGAACCAUCAUUGUGUUAGGCGCGGAAGCUCUGAUACCACUUGUUGAUCCCAAACCGGAUUGUAAAGAAUGAGAUUGAAUGACAAUAUUGAAAUAAACAAGAUCACACCACGAAAACAAGAUUUAAAGUAAAGAAGAACAAAAAAGGUUAAUCGCAAAUGAACGAUGUGUA
rnacentral:lncRNA from 1 species